rnacentral:rRNA from 1 species
UACGAAGGGGACUAGCGUUGUUCGGAAUCACUGGGCGUAAAGCGCACGUAGGCGGAUUCGUAAGUCAGGGGGUGAAAUCCCGGGGCUCAACCUCGGAACUGCCUUCGAUACUGAGAGUCUUGAGUCCGGGAGAGGUGAGUGGAACUGCGAGUGUAGAGGUGAAAUUCGUAGAUAUUCGCAAGAACACCAGUGGCGAAAGGCAGGCCUCAGCU